rnacentral:misc_RNA from 1 species
GCCAAUGGGAGGAAGCUCCAUCCAUGUACUUGAAACUUGAUGUUAAGUCAUUACUUCAUGGAGAUGCUCUGGAGGAAGGUGGAAUCCAAGAGGUAGACAUGGAUAUGGAAGAUGAUGACUCAUUUGGAGUGCCUUCCACUUUAGAGGAAGAGAAUAUUGAGAAGUUUACAGUACCUCCCCAAGAGGAUAUUCCAGCAUGUGGCGAUGUAAAGGAUGAUCAGGUUUUAGACCAUGAGGAGGACCACCGAAUAACUGAAGUAAAAGAAUUGGCAAAGAGUAAAUGGUCAUCUGAUUUGGAUGAAGAUAAUACUCGAAGAAAUAAAGAUGCCACUAGAAACAUAAAUGCUCUCUCUGGGUUGAUACAAUCUUACAGCAAGGAAGGAAAGUUCGUACGUUGGGGUGACCAGGUAACCAAAAGAGGCUUUUCUAUAGGGGCAGCAAAAGCAACCAAUGUAUCUUUAAUAAUUGGUCCUGGUGCAGGAUACAACUUGAAGUCAAACCCUUUACCUGACGAAGAGAAGUUGACAUCAACUCGACAUAGUGGUGAACCAAAGAGGCAGAACAUAUUUCAAGAGAGAUUACGAGCAGAGCACGAGUCGUUUAGGGCUGUUUUCGAGUCCUUCAGAACUGGUUCUGACAAGAGGCGGCCGCGGAUAUCUG